GGGAGCAAUCCUGGCGNCGAGCGGCANAACGGGUGAGUAAUGCUUNGGAAUCUGCCCAGUAGUGGGGAAUAACCAGUCGAAAGACUGGNUAAUNCCGCAUACAGCCUAUGGGUAAAAGCAGGGGNCCGCAAGGCCUUGCGNUAUUGGAUGAUCCGAAGUCGGAUUAGCUAGUUGGUGAGGUAACGGCUCACCAAGACGACGAUCCGUAANUGGUCUGAGAGGACGACCAGCCACACUGGGACUGAGACACGGCCCAGACUCNUACGGGAGG
rnacentral:rRNA from 1 species